UAGUAUGGUUGUGCAGGUUGUGCAGGCUCCAGUUAUUAAGUGAAGACCCUGCAGGUCGUUAAGUGAGGAUCUCGUGUGACUGCAACUUCUGACUUCCUGCCAGUUUUCCCAAUGACUUUGCUUGUGGGAGGUUGGCAGGGGAAGUCACAAAGGUGAUUAUGUGAUCAUAAAAUGAGGACCAGCACUUUUUUUGUCCAUCAAUAUUUCACAGUGAUGGCCAGAUGACUAAAGAAAAAUGAAUC